GCACAAGCAGCGGAGCGUGUGGUUUAAUUCGAUGCAACGCGAAGAACCUUUACCAGGGCUUGACAUGCUUGAAGUAGAAACUCGAAAGAGAGACGACCUGUAUCCAAUCAGGAGCUUGCACAGGUGCUGCAUGGCUGUCGUCAGCUCGUGUCGUGAGAUGUUGGGUUAAGUCCCGCAACGAGCGCAACCCUUGCCAUUAGUUGCUACGAAAGGGCACUCUAAUGGGACUGCCGGUGACAAACCGGAGGAAGGUGGGGAUGACGUCAAGUCCUCAUGGCCCUUAUAGGUGGGGCUACACACGUCAUACAAUGGCCGGUACAGAGGGUAGCCAACCCGCGAGGGGGAGCCAAUCCCACAAAGCCGGUCGUAGUCCGGAUCGCAGUCUGCAACUCGACUGCGUGAAGUCGGAAUCGCUAGUAAUCGUGGAUCAGCAUGUCACGGUGAAUACGUUCCCGGGUCUU
rnacentral:rRNA from 1 species